UACGACGGGGGCUAGCGUUGCUCGGAAUCACUGGGCGUAAAGCGCACGUAGGCGGGUCCUUAAGUCAGGGGUGAAAUCCCGGAGCUCAACUCCGGAACUGCCUUUGAUACUGGGGAUCUUGAGUCCGGAAGAGGUGAGUGGAACUCCGAGUGUAGAGGUGAAAUUCGUAGAUAUUCGGAAGAACACCAGUGGCGAAGGCGGCUCACUGGUCCGGUACUGACGCUGAGGUGCGAAAGCGUGGGGAGCAAACAGG
rnacentral:rRNA from 1 species